UACGUAGGUGGCAAGCGUUGUUCGGAAUUAUUGGGCGUAAAGGGCGCGUAGGCGGUUUGUUAAGUCGGUCGUGAAAGCCCGGGGCUCAACCCCGGAGGGUCGACCGAUACUGGCAGACUAGAGUACAGAAGAGGUAGCUGGAAUUCCCGGUGUAGCGGUGGAAUGCGUAGAUAUCGGGAGGAACACCUGAGGCGAAGGCGGGCUACUGGGCUGAUACUGACGCUGAGGCGCGAAAGCUAGGGGAGCAAACGGG
rnacentral:rRNA from 1 species